AACCCUAAUUCCAUAGGUCCUGUGACAGCAUUAAGGAUUUUUAUUUUUUGCUUUAUAGGGCUGUACUCACGGCCCGUGACAGGAACUCCUGAUUUUUUUUAAAAAGAAAAUUAUCGAAGUAUGGUUUUGGUUUUUUUUUUUUUUUUUUUUUGGCCAUGCAUGCAGCAUAUAGGCCAAGGAUUGAAUGUGUGCCACAGCAGUGACCUAAGAUCCUGCAUUGACAAUGUUGUGUGAGUUUCAGCUGCACAGCAAAAUGAUUCAGUUACACACACACACACACACACACACACACACACAUAUGCGCACACACACAGAGAUUUUUAGAUGCUUUUCCCUUGUAGGUUGUUAUAAAAUCUCAAGUAUAGUUCCCAUGCUAUAGAGUAGGUCUUUCAAGUAAAGAAAAGUGCUCCAGAUUUAAUAAAACAUAGAAGGAAUUAUCCCAACAUACUAAGUGCUGUCGCCAUCCUUAGCUGUUGAAAGGACUAGAAACACCUGAGUGAAGCCCUCACACAGAAAUGCUGACCGUGGAGUUAGGGAAAAGACAAGCAUUAAGUGUUCAACUCAAACUCUCCUUGAGGAACUCAGUGAUGGGCAGAUAAGUUGUGGCCAAAGAUCCUGAUGUUUAUAGGAUAAUUCAUUGCUGCCCCACCCACCCCUUUCUCACCAUUCUCCCCCCCGCCCACCCCAGGGCAUGAGGAUCUGCAAAGAUUCUAUUUCACCUUUUAAUGUAAAAAAUACUGUUCUGUGGGAGUUUAUUUCUUAACACCCUAGACACUUUUUUUCAAAUGUUUGCCUGACUUGUCAAUGUUUACUGGAGUCAGGUGUUGAAUUGCCGGAUAUGUGCAUUUUAUCAUAACUCUGUUACAUCAGUCCCCAAACUCUGGGAAAAAAAAAUAUUCUUAUUAACUGCUAUUACCUUCAUCAAACAUGUAACCUCUCGGCAGGGCUCUGGUUCCCUAGGCAAGCCCAUCAUCGGCCCCUCACUUCAAGCAAGUACAUAAGCACCAGCUGUCAACGGUGCUUUCAAUCCAGCUGUCAAGCCAGGUGUGGUAGACACAGUGCUGUGCUCUGAUGUUAAUGAUGGAUUAAUUAAGGCAGUGCGUGUGUGUGUGUGUGUGUGUGUGUGUGCGUGUGCGCGCGCGCGCGCACGCGCGAGCAGUGGAAUCUGGAGAGCAGUCCGCGAGCUGCUUUUGGCUGGGGUUUCAUGGCAGUCUUCAGUGUACUCCUUGGGGGCCUCCUCUCCACUUGCCAACAGGUCUGUACACUCUGCUUCAAAAGCAAACAAUCAGCUUAUCUGAAUAAAAACAAAGAACCCCAUGACUAAUUCAGCAAAGCGCGUGAUCUUGACAGAGAAAGCACAGCACUUAUUUGACAGGUCAUGAAAGGAAGUGCUCUUUUUCUCCUUACUCUUGAAGAGUAGGCUAAUCUGUGCAUACACUGCUUGCACUUCAUGAACCAGUAAUAAGGGAGGAUGUACACAGCUCAUAAGAUUAUAGGAUUUUGCAAUAUUUAAAUAUUUCCUAUAAACUUUUAAAACUGUAUGUGUAUAUAUGUAUUUUUUUUCUUCUUUUUAGGACUGCACCAGAGGCAUAUGGAAGUUCCCAGGAUAGGGGUCGAAUUGGAACUGCAGCCUCCAGCCUAUGCCACAGUCACAGCAACGUAGGAUCCAAGCCAUGUCUGUGUUCUACACCACAGCUCAUGGCAAAGCUGGAUCCUUGACCCACUGAGUGAGGCCAGGGAUCAAACCGGCAUCAUCAUGGAUGCUAGUCAGGUUCGUUAACCACUGAUCCACAACAGGAACUCCUAAAAUAUAUUUUUGCAGGAUGUUGAUAAUGUGUUGCCCUUGGGAACUGUUUUACCUCCAUAUUAGUUGUCUCUUUAUCACGAGUUAGGUCGAUUCUCUAAUCUGCGUGUCUUUUUGUUACAGGGUUUUAAGCUACUGCCUCCACGUUGCUCAAGGGCAGAGUCCUACUUAACACAUUGCUCAGGACUAAUGCCCAAGGAUGCAAAUGCUUUGUUCUCAGAUUAUGUGCUGUUCCAUUUUGGAUGAAAAAAUGCAGGUUUUCAUUUUUUUUUGAUAGAGUAAUAGCAAGGUAAGACAAUAACAAUAGCAAUAAUAACUACAAUUAAUUCAGCACCUGUUAUGUUAGACUAAGUAUAUUAUGAAACAUAAUUUCAUAAUCUCUUUAUUAAGCAAUUUCACAGAUGUUCAAGUUUAGAGAGAAUAAAUAACUUGCCCAGAAUUGUAUAAAGACCAAUGAAGAAUGGAAUGGAUUUGGAGAAGAUGGAUAUUGAAGAUCGAUGGGGAUUUAUUAGGAAAUCAAUAGGAAAUUUAUUAGGAAAUCCAUAGGAUUUAUUAGAGAUUUAUUAGACGGAAAAAGGGAAGCCAGAAGGAGACAAGCUUAGGAUAUGGACAACUCAGAGCCACAAUGCCUGUUGGGAAACCAUGGAACCCGGUGCUACUGCAGCAAUAGAGAGGCAGAAUGGAGGAGGUUUGAGGAAAUCCAUGAUAAAAAGUUUGACCUUGACUUUAUUCUUCUUGUAAAGAGGAACUAGUGAAAAGACACCGUCAGUUUAGUAUUAAGACAAUGGCAAGCAAAGAUGCAUUGGGGUGGGAGUGCCUGAUAAGGGAAUACAAUUAAGGAGUUGCAUCAUUGACAAAUACAACUUAUGGGGUGCAGAAAGCAAAGUGCAAGGGUGAGUCAUAUAUAUUUAUUGUCCUACAGUCUUCUUCAGGAAGCUGCUCAACUAGGAAAAUGUCAGGCAACUGAACAUGCAAGUACUUGCCUCUUAAUAAUAAUAAUAAUUGCUAACCUUUGAGCAACUAGUACAUUCCAGGCACUUUUUUCAGUUCUUUACAGGUAUUAAUUCAUUAAUCCUCACAACAAGCCUCACAACGAAGUGGAAGAAGCAGGUGAUGAGUCCGUGGAGGGUGGUUUUCAGAUUUGCUAUCUGGACAACAAAAUAAGACGGUAUUUUAGAUAGAUCUUAUUUCAUUUCAUUCUGUUUAUUAGCUAUUGUAGUUUAACUCUGAGUAACAUUUACAAUGCAAAUGUAGAUUUCAUAUCUAUCAUUGUCAAUAACAUGGUGUCCUUGGGAACUCUGAAGAGAUGAAGGAGAAUUCUAGAGAUGGUACUUUUCUGGAGAAUUUUAACAUUUGAGGAAUGACAAUUGGAUCAUAUUAGAUCUGGAUACCAGAGAAAUAUUUUAUACACUACCUUACAAGUUCUCACCAGAAAAAUAAAUUCUGAAUGGCUUGAAUGUGCACUACUGUCAAAUGGAUUUAAAACAGAGCGAAGGGACCCUAAGCAAAGGGUAAUGAUAGCAAUAAUAAUGAUAAAUGGCAAUGCAUUGGGUUAGGAACAGGGUGCACAGUUGGCUGCUUUUAUUUAAGAUGUCUUGGUAAUAUUAAAGCUGCAAAAACCAUUAAUAAAUGAGUGCAUAGUGUUGUAAUCUGAAAUCUUUUUUGCAGAGAUCUUGGUCCUUCUCAUUGUAAUUAUUUGUUGCUAUUAUUAUUUAAUUAAAGAUAACAAAAUCACAUCAAUUAUCCUGCAUGAUAUCCGAGGAUCACAAAUAUCUCAAGAACUGUCAUUGGUUGUUUGUUUAUUGUCAUACAAGCCAGGACCACACAAUUAAUAAAGUGAACACAUUCUGAGUUUUCAAGGUGAAGAAAAAAGAAAAAUCUAAAUAGACUUUAGCUUCAGCCAGUGACAUUAAUUUUUUGGUAUGUUAUUACCACUGGUACACCCCAAAUAGCCUAUGUUAACCAGCUUGUGCAUAGCUUUAAAGGGUGAUACAUAACCCAUGGAAGUGAAUUUAAAGUAAAAAAUAUAUUCCUUUUUAAAAUGGAAGAUUGACUGUAAAAUAACUUUAGUGUGUAUAUGCAAAUUGUCUUAGCUAUGACUUCAUAAUUUGCAAUGGUAUUCAGCUUGACAAUGUUUACACUUGUUAAUGACUUCCUUUAUGAGUGAUAAUUGAUCUACUUCAUUACCAUAUUAAAUCCCCGAUCAUAUGCCAUUAGGUUUGAUGUAAUAAAUGAUCUGUGUGAUUUUUAGUGUAAUGAACUAAUUAGACUAAUUAAAAUCAAUAUGUGUGCCAAUAUUAUACUUGGAAUCCAAAUGUUCCUCCUUACACUGCUGGCUUAAAAUCAGCAACUCAGUAAAAAAAAAAAGAUCUAAUGCUGAUUUAUGAGCACUUGAGGAACAUGAGGCAGAAUAAAUUGCUUGUGGUAGUAGAGACAGCAUUAGCGCAGUAUAAGAUACUAAGUGCAUUGUAAGGUCAGCAAUAAGGGUGUAUUUACACAUGUAGUUAUAUGGCACCUUAAACCUCCCCUUAAUAUAUCAGAACAUCUCAGCAAAAUUAUUAGGUUUAAAUGCCAGUGUGAUUAUUCUGUACAUGUUCAUAAAUAAUGUUGCAAAAAUAUGAGCAUUUCAAUUAGGUAAUCAGUCUACAACAUAAUGAAAAUAUGCAUAUUCAGUUUGAUAAAUGUUAUCCAACAAUUGAUUUAUUUUCUGUUAGAAUGAAGGAAACAUAUUCUAAAGCCAAGAUUAAAUAAAAAAUCAAUGUGUAACUCUACAACUUUAAAUUGUCUAUCAUUCAUUCAGAGAUCUAUAGAGAUUAUAAAUGAUAAUUUUACAGAACCUAUAGAUAUAGUCUUUAAACCUAAGCUCCUAUGUCAUUUUCUGAGGAAGCUUUCCCGGACUCUCAAGAUUCUAAAGUAUCCCUCACUUAAAUGCUCACUCAAAAGCUUCUUUUUUUUCCUUCUUUUUGAGUUAUUUACCGACAUUUUAAUUGUAUGAUUGAUUGAUUAAUGAAGAUUGAAUCUAUGGACUGUAACCUCCACAAGGGCAAGGAUCACAUCUGUGAUUCUUCCCUAGAUAGGUCUAACACAGGGCUUUGCUCACAGAAAGCAAAACUUGUUUCUUUCAUUUUCUUUGAAAUAUGGUACAUUUCUUUGCUAGUUCUAAAGUUUAAGUAAAUUUUAGAUUAUUUUAAUCGAAGCUAAAUAUCAUGCCCUAAUAGUCAAUAGGUAGCUGCAAAACAAACAAAUAUGAAAAUUCCCAAUUAAAAUCAUACAUCCUAUAGCACAGGGGACUAUAGUCAAUAUCCUGUAAUAAACUAUAAUGGAAAAUAACCUGGAAAACAAUAUAUAUAUGUGUGUGUAUAUAUAUAUAUUUUUUUCCGUACACCUGAAACACAACAUUAUAAAUCAACUAUACUUCAAUAAAACAAAACAAAAGCAAUAAACAAAAAAACUUCCCUUUUGAAUAAAAAAAAAUCAGCCGUUAUUUUCUUCACAGAGUCUGGUCUGUGUCUUCCAUGUUUGUUUCUCUUGAGAGCCAGUGGAAGUUGUAGACAUUAAGGAAGCUGAAUUGGAUUGAGGAAUUCGGGGCUUAUUCAUUAGACGCCACAUCAGUGGUUAUUCAGUUUUUCUUAUCACUUGAUAUAAGUUUUAUUGAGUGGUAGGAAAAAAAUGGAACUAGAAUGUAUUAUCCAGCAUCCCAGGGAAUGGAACUGGUACAUAUCAUCUUUGGAUACUUCUUUAAAGGGUUUCCUGCCAGGUUUGUUUCACUUAUGGCUUGUAAUGAUCCAAAUAGAAGUAAGUAUUUAAACAUGAAAACUUGACUUUGGGAAUAAUUUUUAGGGAUUGACUAUGAGACAACAUAAAAGAAGCUCUCCAGGCACUUUCUCCAGCUCAGUCAGAUCCUUUCUUACUUCCUUACUCUUCACAUUCCCUAUAGGCUUCUGCUCAUCAUUUUUACAUUCAUUUAUUCAAAAUUAAACACAUACUUAUGGAGAGUUUUCUCAAGGCAGUAUCCUUGCUUGUCUGGUAAAGAGUAUAGUGUUCCCAGUUUAAAUCUAUUUCUCAUCCAGGAAGAAAAGUAAGACAUGUACAUACAUAGUUCUAAUCUAAAACGAUAAGUGAUAAAUUUCUGAGAGUCUUAAUUAAAUUGCAAGUGAAAUUUAAAGGGAGGACAAUGACUUCUAGCAGGGUAAUUCAGGAAGGUUUUGUAAUGGAACUGGCAUUCAAACUCAAAUUUGAUGUCUAGAAAGAAUUUUGUGGAGUUCCCAUCAUGGCUCAGCAGAAAUGAAUCUGACUAGUAUCCAUGAGAAUGCGGUUAGAUCCCUGGCCUUUCUCAGUGGGUUAAGGAUCUGGCGUUGCCAUGAGCUGUGGUUGCAGAUGUGACUUGGAUCCCAUGUUGCUGUGGCUGUGACAUAGGCCAGCAGUUACAGCUCUGAUUGGAUCCCUAGCCUGGGAACCUCCAUAUGCCAUGGGUGAGGCCCUU
rnacentral:lncRNA from 1 species